rnacentral:rRNA from 1 species
UAGCCGUAAACGAUACUCGCUAGGUGUCGGCCACGGUGCGACCGUUGUCGGUGCCGUAGGGAAGCCGUGAAGCGAGCCACCUGGGAAGUACGGCCGCAAGGCUGAAACUUAAGGAAUUGGCGGGGGAGCACCACAACGGGUGGAGCUUGCGGUUUAAUUGGAUUCAACGCCGGAAAUCUUACCGGGACCGACAGCAACAUGAAGGCCAGGCUGAAGACUUUGCCGGAUUAGCUGAGAGGUGGUGCAUGGCGUAGUCGUGU